rfam:Zootermopsis nevadensis contig24132, whole genome shotgun sequence.
GCCACGGUGGUCUAGCGGUUAGAACACAUGCCUUGUAAUCCUGGGGUUCCGGGUUCAAUUCCCGGCGGUGCCC